rnacentral:rRNA from 1 species
GACGAACGCUGGCGGCGUGCUUAACACAUGCAAGUCGAACGGAAAGGCCCUGCUUUUGUGGUGUGCUCGAGUGGCGAACGGGUGAGUAACACGUGAGUAACCUGCCCUUGACUUUGGGAUAACUUCAGGAAACUGGGGCUAAUACCGGAUAGGAGCUCCUGCUGCAUGUUGGGGGUUGGAAAGUUUCGGCGGUUGGGGAUGGACUCGCGGCUUAUCAGCUUGUUGGUGGGGUAGUGGCUUACCAAGGCUUUGACGGGUAGCCGGCCUGAGAGGGUUACCGGCCACAUUGGGACUGAGAUACGGCCCAGACUCCUACGGGAGGCAGCAGGGGGGAAUAUUGCACAAUGGGCGGAAGCCUGAUGCAGCAACGCCGCGUGCGGGAUGACGGCCUUCGGGUUGUAAACCGCUUUCGCCUGUGACGAAGCGUGAGUGACGGUAAUGGGUAAAGAAGCACCGGCUAACUACGUG